AACACAGAGGAGCGAAGAGAAUACAGAGGAGCGAGGAGGACACUGAGGAGCGAGGUGAGGAGCGAGGAAGACACUGAGAAGCGAGGUGAGGAGCGAGGAGGACACUGAGGAGUGAGGUGAGGAGCGAGGAGACACUGAGGAGGACACUGAGGAGUGAGGUGAGGAGCGAGGUGAGGAGCGAGGAGGACACUGAGGAGUGAGGUGAGGAGCGAGGUGAGGAGCGAGGAGGACACUGAGGAGCGAGGAGGACACUGAGGAGCGAGGAGGACACUGAGGAGUGAGGUGAGGAGCGAGGAGGACACUGAGGAGCGAGGAGGACACUGAGGAGUGAGGUGAGGAGCGAGGAGGACACUGAGGAGUGAGGUGAGGAGCGAGGAGACACUGAGGAGGACACUGAGGAGCGAGGAGGACACUGAGGAGUGAGGUGAGGAGCGAGGAGACACUGAGGAGGACACUGAGGAGCGAGGU
ensembl:lncRNA